rnacentral:rRNA from 1 species
ACGCACGCUGGCGGCGUGCUUCACACCUGCAAGUCGAACGGUGAAGCCCUUCGGGGUGGAUCAGUGGCGAACGGGUGAGUAACACGUGAGCAACCUGCCCCUGGCUCUGGGACAACCACUGGAAACGGUGGCUAAUACCGGAUACGACCCGCCUCGGCAUCGAGUGUGGGUGGAAAGUUUUUCGGCUGGGGAUGGGCUCGCGGCCUAUCAGCUUGUUGGUGAGGUGAAGGCUUACCAAGGCGACGACGGGUAGCCGGCCUGAGAGGGCGACCGGCCACACUGGGACUGAGACACGGCCCAGACUCCUACGGGAGGCAGCAGUGGGGAAUAUUGCACAAUGGGCGAAAGCCUGAUGCAGCGACGCCGCGUGAGGGAUGACGGCCUUCGGGUUGUAAACCUCUUUCAGCUCCGAAGAAGCGAAAGUGACGGUAGGAGCAGAAGAAGCACCGGCUAACUACGUG